rnacentral:rRNA from 1 species
CCUACGGGUGGCAGCAGUGGGGAAUAUUGCGCAAUGGGCGAAAGCCUGACGCAGCGACGCCGCGUGAGGGAUGAAGGUCUUCGGAUCGUAAACCUCUGUCAGCAGGGAAGAACGGUCACUGUGCUAAUCAGCAGUGAAUUGACGGUACCUGCAAAGGAAGCACCGGCUAACUCCGUGCCAGCAGCCGCGGUAAUACGGAGGGUGCGAGCGUUAAUCGGAAUUACUGGGCGUAAAGCGCUCGUAGGCGGUAUGUCAAGUCAAGGGUGAAAUCCCCGCGCUCAACGUGGGAACUGCCUUUGAAACUGGCAAACUGGAGUGUGUGAGAGGAUAGUGGAAUUCCAGGUGUAGGGGUGAAAUGCGGAGAUAUCUGGAGGAACAUCAGUGGCGAAGGCGACUAUCUGGCACAUAACUGACGCUGAGGAGCGAAAGCGUGGGUAGCAAACAGGAUUAGAUACCCGUGUAGUC